rnacentral:rRNA from 1 species
UACGAAGGUCCCAAGCGUUAUCCGGAUUUAUUGGGUUUAAAGGGUGCGUAGGCGGCUUAUUAAGUCAGUGGUGAAAGCUCCAUGCUUAACAUGGAAAUUGCCAUUGAUACUGAUGAGCUUGAGUAGAUUUGAAGUGGGCGGAAUGUGUCGUGUAGCGGUGAAAUGCUUAGAUAUGACACAGAACACCGAUUGCGUAGGCAGCUCACUAAACUCUCACUGACGCUGAGGCACGAAAGCAUGGGGAAUCAAACAGGAGUUAGAA